rnacentral:rRNA from 1 species
UACGAAGGGGGCUAGCGUUGCUCGGAAUUACUGGGCGUAAAGGGCGCGUAGGCGGAUCUUUAAGUCAGGGGUGAAAUCCUGGAGCUCAACUCCAGAACUGCCUUUGAUACUGAGGACCUUGAGUUCGGGAGAGGUGAGUGGAACUGCGAGUGUAGAGGUGAAAUUCGUAGAUAUUCGCAAGAACACCAGUGGCGAAGGCGGCUCACUGGCCCGAUACUGACGCUGAGGUGCGAAAGCGUGGGGAGCACACAGG